rnacentral:lncRNA from 1 species
GUUCAGUAUAGCGUAUAGUGUUUUGUUUUGUUUUGUUUUAUUCCCUCACAAAACUUCUGACUGGAACUAGAAAUCAACUCCUGUUUGGAGGUCCAGUAGAAGAACUUCAUAUAAUUUAUUUCCCACUUUUCAUUAAGUAGUUUAUAUCCUACACUCUGGAUUUGUGCAAAAUAUGAUUACUUAUAAUAAUAAAUAACAAUGAUAUUUAAUGAAGAAAUACUCCCAACUUUUCCCAAAUGCUGAGAUCUGUGUACCUUCAACAAAAUUUAGUGGAUUUUCCAAGCUUCAAAUACUGGUAUUACUCACAACAGCAUUUGCCCUGUUUCUUCACAGUUUCAUCAAAGUUGCAUUUCAGAAGCUUUGGCAUCAGAGACACUCCACUCUUUUUUGUUGCCUAUAGGCCAGAGCUGUCAGUAGGUAAGAUGAUGUGUUGCUGAUGUUACAUCAGAUGUGAUGUUACACAGAACAUACGGUUGACACUGUGCUUGGCUGUGUUUGCUCUCUGUUUUGUGUAGUAGCACCCUUCUGCAGAGAUUGCAGGGAGGAAGGGAAGCUGUUGCUCCCUCUCCUUUCUCCCCCAUCAAGCUGGUUGCCCAUCACCAGCUGUGUGAUGGUAUCUGGGGAUGGACAAACUUACCCAGUGCUGGUCCCAUGAGGAAAGCCACAGCUGAGGGAGAGGGAGGCCGAGGGACAUUUGAGGCUGAUUUUUUAGCAGGAGAUCAGGGAUGAGCUGGGGGGUCAGAAUAACUCACAUUUGUUGGUGUGUUAAUGUCCAGCUCUGUUUAAUAUCAGAGGCAGCUGUCAUGUUUGCACAAGACAGAAUCUGAGCUAUCAGCGCUAUCGUACUUUACCACGCAGGAAAAGGCCAACAAUGGCAUUCUUAAAUGGAAGUGUGGUUCGGCGGUAUGUAAACAAAAUCCAGUCAGAAAUCUUGAACAAUACUCACACUCUAAGCUGUUUCUUUUUUUUUUUUCUGUUUUUGUUUCAGGGUUUUCUGUAUCCUUUUUAGUGGAGGGUUGUUAAUUCCUGGUAGUGCAGGCCAAGAAAAAAGGAGUGAGCCUGGAAAAACCACAUCCUCUCCUAGGACUAGAGUCUUCCCCUGGUUAUGUGUGUGAUUCCUACUGACUCCACCAGCUAUUGUGCAAGUGGAACUAAGCACAGAAUUUGACCUGCUGAUUUUGCAAGCAUAACUUAAAGUUUCACAUGUGCUCUUAUCCUUUUAAGCAAACAACUGUUUGUACAGCAAGAUAAAUACUCUCUGUUGAGCUGUCUUGAGCCUGUGAUUGUUCACUGCAGCUUUUCUUCUGCUUCCCACAAAAACCCCUGUGUUUGACCACUGGGUGUCAGUGAAAGACCGUGAAGUGUUUUUUCUGUAAUUUUAAACGUACAUGAGUUACUCCCAGCUCUGUGGGUGUUCUUUAUUUAAGGUGGCCUGGGCAAUUUUAAGCUCAUUGACAUAUACACCAGGAGUGUAUGAUUAUUAGGAAAAUCAUCUAAAAUCAGUAAAUUGUUCCCGAAUCUCUUCAUUAAUCAAUACAAAAUAAAUCAUACUACCGUG